rnacentral:rRNA from 1 species
GACGAACGCUGGCGGCGUGCUUAACACAUGCAAGUCGAACGGAAAGGCCCUGCUUGCAGGGUACUCGAGUGGCGAACGGGUGAGUAACACGUGGGUGAUCUGCCCUGCACUUCGGGAUAAGCCUGGGAAACUGGGUCUAAUACCGGAUAGGAGCCAUUUUUAGUGUGAUGGUUGGAAAGUUUUUUCGGUGUAGGAUGAGCUCGCGGCCUAUCAGCUUGUUGGUGGGGUAAUGGCCUACCAAGGCGGCGACGGGUAGCCGGCCUGAGAGGGUGGACGGCCACAUUGGGACUGAGAUACGGCCCAGACGCCUACGGGAGGCAGCAGUGGGGAAUAUUGCACAAUGGGCGCAAGCCUGAUGCAGCGACGCCGCGUGGGGGAGGACGGCCUUCGGGUUGGAAACUCCUUUCGCUAGGGACGAAGCUUUUUGUGACGGUACCUAGAUAAGAAGCACCGGCUAACUACGUG